AGCGGAGGAAAAGAAACUAACAAGGAUUCCCCUAGUAACGGCGAGUGAAGCGGGAAGAGCUCAAAUUUGAAAUCUAGUAGCCUUCGGCUGCUCGAGUUGUAAUCUAGAGAAGUGUUUUCCGUGCCGGCCCAUGUACAAGUCCCUUGGAACAGGGCGUCAUAGAGGGUGAGAAUCCCGUCCUUGACAUGGACCCCCGGUGCUCUGUGAUACACUUUCAACGAGUCGAGUUGUUUGGGAAUGCAGCUCAAAAUGGGUGGUGAAUUCCAUCUAAAGCUAAAUAUUGGCGAGAGACCGAUAGCGAACAAGUACCGUGAGGGAAAGAUGAAAAGCACUUUGGAAAGAGAGUUAAACAGUACGUGAAAUUGUUGAAAGGGAAACGAUUGAAGUCAGUCAUGCUCUUUGGUAUUUAUAUCAUUGAGUGGGGUCAACAUCAGUUUUGAUCGAUGGAUAAAGGCACUAGGAAGGUAGCACUCUCGGGUGAACUUAUAGCCUGGCGUCAUAUACAUUGAUUGGGACUGAGGAACGCAGCAUGCCUUUAUGGCCGGGAUUCGUCCACGUACAUGCUUAGGAUGUUGACAUAAUGGCUUUAAACGACCCGUCUUG
rnacentral:rRNA from 1 species